rnacentral:rRNA from 1 species
AUUGUCUUUGUGGCAAUUUUGAGAUGCAGUGUAUGGAAUGUCAAAUUUCUAGUAUGAGAAAUUAACGAUUUAAGUCCUUCUUAAAUGAGGCCAUUUACCCAAAGAGGGUGCCAGGCCCGUAUAACGUUAAUGAUUAUUAGAUGGCAUUUCCAAAGAGUCGUGUUGCUUGAUAGUGCAGCACUAAGCGGGUGGUAAACUCCAUCUAAAACUAAAUAUAACCAUGAGACCGAUAGCAAACAAGUACCGUGAGGGAAAGUUGAAAAGAACUCUGAAUAGAGAGUUAAAUAGUACGUGAAACUGCUUAGAGGUUAAGCCCGAUGAACCUGAAUAUCCCUUAUAGGAAAUUCAUCUCUAUGAUUUUAAUAUAUUUUAAUAAUAGUGUGCAUUUUUUCUAUAAAAGGGACAUUGUAAUCUAUUAACAUGUGGUAUUUAUCACAAGAUCAGCUUAAGUUUAUUUAAAUUAUUUUGCUUGCAAAUUAACAUAAAAUAAAUGCUAUUGAUUUGAUAAAGUGUUGAUGGGUAUAUAUAUAGCGCUUAAAUAAUAUUUUAUAACAGCAUAAUUAAUUUUUAAUGUUCGUUAUAUGCGCUUAUAUGAUUAACAAUGCGAAAGAUUCAGGAUACCUUCGGGACCCGUCUUGAAACACGGACCAAGGAGUCUAACAUAUUUGCAAGUUAUUGGGUUAAACCUAAUAGCGAAAUUAACAUAACAAAUUGGGAUUAGUUUUAAGACUUUUAAUUCAAUCCCGGGGCGUUCUAUAAAGUUAUGUAUAAUAAUAUUUAUAUUAUUUAUACCUCUAACUGGAGCGUACCUUGAGCAUAUAUGCUGUGACCCGAAAGAUGGUGAACUAUACUUGAUCAGGUUGAAGUCAGGGGAAACCCUGAUGGAAGACCGAAACAGUUCUGACGUGCAAAUCGAUUGUCAGAAUUGAGUAUAGGGGCGAAAGACCAAUCGAACCAUCUAGUAGCUGGUUCCCUCCGAAGUUUCCCUCAGGAUAGCUGGUGCAUUUAAAAUUUAAGUAAAAUAAUCUUAUCUGGUAAAGCGAAUGAUUAGAGGCCUUAGGGUCGAAACGAUCUUAACCUAUUCUCAAACUUUAAAUGGGUAAGAACCUCACCUUUCUUGGUAUGAAGGUCGUGGUUGUGAUAUAAUGUGCCCAGUGGGCCACUUUUGGUAAGCAGAACUGGCGCUGUGGGAUGAACCAAACGUAAUGUUACGGUGCCCAAAUUAACAACUCAUGCAGAUACCAUGAAAGGCGUU